rnacentral:rRNA from 1 species
AACGAACGCUGGCGGCAUGCCUAACACAUGCAAGUCGAACGAGACCUUCGGGUCUAGUGGCGCACGGGUGCGUAACGCGUGGGAACCUGCCCUUAGGUUCGGAAUAACUCCCCGAAAGGGGUGCUAAUACCGGCUAAUGUCUUCGGACCAAAGAUUUAUCGCCUUUGGAUGGGCCCGCGUUGGAUUAGCUAGUUGGUAGGGUAAAAGCCUACCAAGGCGACGAUCCAUAGCUGGUCUGAGAGGAUGAUCAGCCACACUGGGACUGAGACACGGCCCAGACUCCUACGGGAGGCAGCAGUGGGGAAUAUUGGACAAUGGGCGAAAGGCUGAUCCAGCAAUGCCGCGUGAGUGAUGAAGGCCUUAGGGUUGUAAAGCUCUUUUACCCGGGAUGAUAAUGACAGUACCGGGAGAAUAAGCUCCGGCUAACUCCGUG